CUUGAGCUCACACUAGCCGUGGAAAUAAUGCUGCCUCUACGUGCCGGAAUCAUGACACGGGCGGCGUGUUUAAUACCUAGGAAAACUCCAGUCACAUUAAUGCUAAGAACGCGCUCAAAAUCGGCCUUUUCAUUGUCGAUUAUUCGAGGUUUGUUCUCAUCAGCAAUGCCCGCAUUGUUGAACAUUAUGUCAAGCUUGCCAUAGGUAGCAACUGCUUUGUCAACUGCAUUUUUAAUAUGGGCCUCAUCGGAAACAUCG
rnacentral:misc_RNA from 1 species